rnacentral:ncRNA from 1 species
CAAAAUGCAUAGAUAAGGAUUAGUAAUUUUAAGGAUACCUUCUAUAGAGAACUGAUGGUUGGUGCAAAUCAGCGAGGACCUUAACAAUGAAUUGGAGCCUUGGAGCAUGUUCCUGUAAGGAACCGGCAAGCCACCGUUACUGGCAAGUGAUUCUAUACUGUACAGAUAUGGAAUAAGUUGGGUGGUACCACGCUGUAAGCGUCCCUACA